ACUCAAAUGAAUUGACGGGGGCCCGCACAAGCGGUGGAGCAUGUGGUUUAAUUCGAUGCAACGCGAAGAACCUUACCCGGGCUUGACAUGAACUGGAAGAGUGGCAGAGAUGUCCUCGCUCGCAAGAGUCGGUUCACAGGUGCUGCAUGGCUGUCGUCAGCUCGUGUCGUGAGAUGUUGGGUUAAGUCCCGCAACGAGCGCAACCCUUACCAGUAGUUGUCAGCAUUUAGUUGGACACUCUACUGGGACUGCCUGCGUUAAGCAGGAGGAAGGUGGGGAUGACGUCAAGUCCUCAUGGCCCUUAUGUCCGGGGCUACACACGUGCUACAAUGGUGGUCACAGAGGGAAGCCAAACCGCAAGGUGGAGCAAAUCCCUUAAAAGCCAUCUAAGUUCAGAUUGGUCUCUGCAACUCGAGACCAUGAAGUUGGAAUCGCUAGUAAUCGCGGAUCAGAACGCCGCGGUGAAUACGUUCCCGGGCCUUGUACACACCGCCCGU
rnacentral:rRNA from 1 species